rnacentral:lncRNA from 1 species
CCGACACUGUUUUGUUGCCAUACAAUUUUGUGAUUUUCUUUUUCAAACAUGUGUGUUUACUGAGAAUACAAAUCACCUAUUCAACAAUGAGAUUUAUAUUUUUAUGCCCUUGUCGGGACUUGAAUUGUAGUCUAUGGCUAUAAUAGAAAUGUGAACAUCUGUGGAUAAUUUAUCCUUUUUUAAGGACCUGCAAACAAUCUUAUCCGACACUGUUUUGUUGCCAUACAAUUUUGUGAUUUCCUUUUUCAAACAUGUGUGUGUUUACUGAGAAUACAAAUCACCUAUUCAACAAUGAGAUUUAAUUUUUCUUGGGUUGAUUUGUUUUGGUAUUUAACAGUUUCAUUAAUUAUUUUACCAUCAUUUAUCCUCUCUUUAAGCAUCCUUGUUUUUCCUUCUCCUGAUUUCUGUGCUCUGCAGAUGAACAACAUUUUAUCAGGAUUCUUCUUGGUGGUUGAGUUGUUUUAAUUCAAAUGUCGUCAUUGAGGAUAAUUAUACUUAAUUCAUGGUUCCUGUAUUUUGCAGC